CAGAACGAACGCUGGCGGCAGGCCUAACACGAUGCAAGUCGAGCGCGCCCUUCGGGGUGAGCGGCGGACGGGUUAGUAACGCGUGGGAACGUACCCUUUGGUAGGGAAUAGCCACUGGAAACGGUGAGUAAUACCCUAUGAGCCCUUCGGGGGAAAGAUUUUAUCGCCAAAGGAUCGGCCCGCGUUAGAUUAGGUAGUUGGUGGGGUAAUGGCCUACCAAGCCUACGAUCUAUAGCUGGUUUUAGAGGAUGAUCAGCAACACUGGGACUGAGACACGGCCCAGACUCCUACGGGAGGCAGCAGUGGGGAAUCUUGGACAAUGGGGGCAACCCUGAAUCCAGCCAUGCCGCGUGAGUGAAGAAGGCCUUAGGGUCGUAAAGCUCUUUCGCCUGUGAAGAUAAUGACGGUAGCAGGUAAAGAAACCCCGGCUAACUCCGUGCCAGCCGCCGC
rnacentral:rRNA from 1 species